GAUGAACGCUGGCGGCGUGCCUAAUACAUGCAAGUCGAGCGAACAGAUAAGGAGCUUGCUCCUUUGACGUUAGCGGCGGACGGGUGAGUAACACGUGGGUAACCUACCUAUAAGACUGGGAUAACUUCGGGAAACCGGAGCUAAUACCGGAUAAUAUUUCGAACCGCAUGGUUCGAUAGUGAAAGAUGGUUUUGCUAUCACUUAUAGAUGGACCCGCGCCGUAUUAGCUAGUUGGUAAGGUAACGGCUUACCAAGGCGACGAUACGUAGCCGACCUGAGAGGGUGGUCGGCCACACUGGAACUGAGACACGGUCCAGACUCCUACGGGAGGCAGCAGUAGGGAAUCUUCCGCAAUGGGCGAAAGCCUGACGGAGCACCGCCGCGUGAGUGAUGAAGGUCUUCGGAUCGUAAAACUCUGUUAUUAGGGAAGAACAUACGUGUAAGUAACUGUGCACGUCUUGACGGUACCUAAUCAGAAAGCCACGGCUAACUACGUG
rnacentral:rRNA from 1 species